GCGCAGGCGGAAGUGCUUCCCGUGCGCGUGCGCCAGGUGGCCCCAGAAGGCCUUGCGCAGGGCGUCGAAGGUGGAGCGGAAGCGCUUGGAGUAGAGCACGAAUUUGUUGGGGAUGACUGAAAACAUCUGCAAGGAAACAGAGGAGGAGAGACACAGAGGAGGGGAAAAUGAGCAAAGACACAAUCUAACCGCAAUGGGAACCUGCCCUGAGACUGACGACCGUGUUCAAAUUUGAACUAAUAUUUGACAAUGAUUAACAAAUAAAGCAAAACUUGGUAGACGGUCAAUGACUGUGCUUUCCUCUCCCCCGCCGC
rnacentral:lncRNA from 1 species